rnacentral:lncRNA from 1 species
AGGAUGUUUUAGAAGAUAUGUCAACUGAUGUGUUUAUCAGGACAUUUGACAAAAAGGACUAUUUAUAGUGUGACAAAUUUCUUAGUAUAUUUUAUGUAAGCAAUUUGAAGAUAUGUUUUUAUCAAAGAUGAACAAAAGGUAAUGAUGUGUAUAUCAGAAAUGUUUUUAAUGAUGAUCAUUUCAUUGAUAGUAUAAUGCAAUGCAAUGCAUGGCUUAUAGGCCAUAAUCUUCAGGCUAGUAGCAGAAAUUGUAGUGAUAUAAAAGCAUUUAAAAAUUUGAUAGUAGAAUUUACUAAUCAGUCAACAGGACUAAUAGUAACUGGCUGGUUCAAAGGAGCAUCAAUUGUUAUACCUAUUAUAUUAGAUAGCAGAGGUCCUAAGGCAUUGACAAAUAGAGGCCUUAAGCAUAAAUGAUACAUUUGAUGGUAUUGCAUUUAAUGAUUUUGAUGGUAAAACUCAGGUAGCAUUACCACAUAAAAAAUUUUCCAGCAAGAAAAAACUGAAGACUAGAUUAUAGAAAAAAUAAUGAAUAAAAUACAGUAGGUUCCUGACUUAGGAAGUUAAUCUGUCCAAAAAGUUUCCACAUAAAUUGAAAAUCAUAAAGUUUAACAAUACUUAAAUUCAAUAUAUACAAUUGAGCACAUUAGCAAAUGGAAUGGCCAAAUGAAACUUAUGAGUAUACUUUAAGCAUAGAUAAGAAAAUUUGAG